rnacentral:rRNA from 3 species
UGGACCUGAUAUCAGGC